rnacentral:rRNA from 1 species
UGGGGAAUAUUGCACAAUGGGCGCAAGCCUGAUGCAGCCAUGCCGAGUGUGUGAAGAAGGCCUUCGGGUUGUAAAGCACUUUCAGCGGGGAGGAAGGCGAUAAGGUUAAUAACCUUGUCGAUUGACGUUACCCGCAGAAGAAGCACCGGCUAACUCCGUGCCAGCAGCCGCGGUAAUACGGAGGGUGCAAGUGUUAAUAGGAAUUACUGGGCGUAAAGCGCACGCAGGCGGUCUGUCAAGUCGGAUGUGAAAUCCCCGGGCUCAACCUGUGAACUGCAUUCGAAACUGGCAGGCUAGAGUCUUGUAGAGGGGGGUAGAAUUCCAGGUGUAGCGGUGAAAUGCGUAGAGAUCUGGAGGAAUACCGGUGGCGAAGGCGGCCCCCUGGACAAAGACUGACGCUCAGGUGCGAAAGCGUGGGGAGCAAACAGG